GUCAGCUGUUCAGGAGAGUUCUGAGGGAGGCUGUAGUCAGCUGUACAGGAGAGUUCUGAGGGAGGCUGUAGUCAGCUGUACAGGAGAGUUCUGAGGGAGGCUGUAGUCAGCUGUACAGGAGAGUUCUGAGGGAGGCUGUAGUCAGCUGUACAGGAGAGUUCUGAGGGAGGCUGUAGUAGGCUGUACAGGAGAGUUCUGAGGGAGGUUGUAAUCAGCUGUUCAGGAGAGUUCUGAGGGAGGUUGUAAUCAGCUGUACAGGAGAGUUCUGAGGGAGGCUGUAGUAGGCUGUACAGGAGAGUUCUGAGGGAGGCUGUAGUCAGCUGUACAGGAGAGUUCUGAGGGAGGUUAUAGUCAGCUGUACAGGAGAGUUCUGAGGGAGGCUGUAAUCAGCUGUACAGGAGAGUUCUGAGGGAGGUUGUAAUCAGCUGUACAGGAGAGUUCUGAGGGAGGCUGUAGUAGGCUGUACAGGAGAGUUCUGAGGGAGGCUGUAAUCAGCUGUACAGGAGAGUUCUGAGGGAGGUUGUAAUCAGCUGUACAGGAGAGUUCUGAGGGAGGUUGUAAUCAGCUGUACAGGAGAGUUCUGAGGGAGGCUGUAGUCAGCUGUACAGGAGAGUUCUGAGGGAGGUUAUAGUCAGCUGUACAGGAGAGUUCUGAGGGAGGUUGUAAUCAGCUGUACAGGAGAGUUCUGAGGGAGGCUGUAGUCAGCUGUACAGGAGAGUUCUGAGGGAGGCUGUAGUAGGCUGUACAGGAGAGUUCUGAGGGAGGCUGUAGUCAGCUGUACAGGAGAGUUCUGAGGGAGGUUGUAAUCAGCUGUACAGGAGUUCUGAGGGAGGCUGUAGUCAGCUGUACAGGAGAGUUCUGAGGGAGGUUAUAGUCAGCUGUACAGGAGAGUUCUGAGGGAGGCUGUAAUCAGCUGUACAGGAGAGUUCUGAGGGAGGCUGUAAUCAGCUGUACAGGAGAGUUCUGAGGGAGGCUGUAAUCAGCUGUUCAGGAGAGUUCUGAGGGAGGCUGUAAUCAGCUGUACAGGAGAGUUCUGAGGGAGGCUGUAAUCAGCUGUACAGGAGAGUUCUGAAGGAGGUUGUAAUCAGCUGUACAGGAGAGUUCUGAGGGAGGCUGUAAUCAGCUGUACAGGAGAGUUCUGAGGGAGGCUGUAAUCAGCUGUACAGGAGAGUUCUGAGGGAGGCUGUAAUCAGCUGUACAGGAGAGUUCUGAGGGAGGCUGUAAUCAGCUGUACAGGAGAACAAAUGCUGUGCUGCCUGCUUCUAGUAGUGUUAUUAUCCCAAUAUAACAGUGUACAGUCUGACUCAUCAGAAAAACCUAGCUCUCAGUUCCGUCCAGAUCUGCCUAAUUUAUCUGUAAAUUGUUAGGUGUCAAACACUGGCUAACAAAAGCACAGUUUGUAAUCACUAAGUGGACUCCAAAAACUAAUUGUGCCUGCUUAGAUCUAUUCCAUGUUGUUGUACUGAACCCAUUAGAAGACUGUCUGACUGACAGCCUGAUGUAUGUCAAGUAUUCAUGAAGAUGGACGAGGCUAGAACCCAUUAGAAGACUGUCUUGGUGAAGAUGGACGAGGCUAGAACCCAUUAGAAGACUGUCUUGGUGAAGAUGGACGAGGCUAGAACCCAUUAGAAGACUGUCUUCAUGAAGAUGGACGAGGCUAGAACCCAUUAGAAGACUGUCUUCAUGAAGAUGGACGAGGCUGGAACCCAUUAGAAGACUGUCUUCAUGAAGAUGGACGAGGCUAGAACCCAUUAGAAGACUGUCUUCGUGAAGAUGGACGAGGCUAGAACCCAUUAGAAGACUGUCUUCAUGAAGAUGGACGAGGCUGGAUCCCAUUAGAAGACUGUCUUCAUGGACGAGGCUAGAACCCAUUAGAAGACUGUCUUCAUGGACGAGGCUAGAACCCAUUAGAAGACUGUCUUCAUGAAGAUGGACGAGGCUAGAACCCAUUAGAAGACUGUCUACAUGAAGAUGGACGAGGCUGGAUCCCAUUAGAAGACUGUCUUCAUGGACGAGGCUAGAACCCAUUAGAAGACUGUCUUCGUGAAGCUGGACGAGGCUGGAACCCAUUAGAAGACUGUCUUCAUGAAGAUGGACGAGGCUAGAACCCAUUAGAAGACUGUCUUCAUGAAGAUGGACGAGGCUAGAACCCAUUAGAAGACUGUCUUCGUGAAGAUGGACGAGGCUAGAACCCAUUAGAAGACUGUCUUCGUGAAGAUGGACGAGGCUAGAACCCAUUAGAAGACUGUCUUCGUGAAGAUGGACGAGGCUAGAACCCAUUAGAAGACUGUCUUCGUGAAGAUGGACGAGGCUAGAACCCAUUAGAAGACUGUCUUCGUGAAGAUGGACGAGGCUAGAACCCAUUAGAAGACUGUCUUCGUGAAGAUGGACGAGGCUAGAACCCAUUAGAAGACUGUCUUCGUGAAGAUGGACGAGGCUAGAACCCAUUAGAAGACUGUCUUCGUGAAGAUGGACGAGGCUAGAACCCAUUAGAAGACUGUCUUCGUGAAGAUGGACGAGGCUAGAACCCAUUAGAAGACUGUCUUCGUGAAGAUGGACGAGGCCAGUAGCCCUGAUGGGACAAUAGAGAGGAACAAUCUGCUGCUGUUCACUCCAAUAGGAAAACAACAGUAGGAUUGUAAUCAGAUAUGCUGUUAAUGUUUAUACCUAAUAAUGAUGUCACUGGUUCAUUCUGAACUAUUAUAGGGCUGCUUUCUCAGACGACCCCUUGGUCCUGGACUAAACAUCACUUUCAAUGGAGAAUGUCCAUUCACCACUGCCCUCUAUCUAGCCCAGAACUGGGUUUAGGCCGAAUGAGGAAACCGGACCGUUUUAUAAAGAUAUAUACAUAUAAACCUGUUAUGAAAGUUUUAAGCCUUGAUGGGACUCAGCAACUACAGUAGAGGGGUUCAAUGGGUCGUAAAAAUAUGGUUCUCUACGCAAUUCAUUACAGUGCCUUUAUGUCAAUCUUUUUAAAUGUAUUACCACAUUUUACAGAGGUCUUACAGUAAGUAAUCGUGUGUAGCUACACUAUAUAUACAAAAGUAUGUGGACAUGCCUUCAAAUGAGUGGAUUCGGGCUAUUUCAGCCACAUCUGUUGCCGACAGGUGUAUAAAAUUGAGCACGCCGCCGUGCAAUCUCCAUAGACAAAACACUGGUAGUGGAAUCGCCUUAGUGAAGAGCUCAGUGACGUUCAACGUGGCACCGUCCCAGGAUGCCACCUUUACAACAAGUCAGUUUGUCAAAUUUCUGCCCUGCUAAAGCUGCCCCCGGUCAACUGGAAGUCCUUUUAUUGUGAAGUGGAAAUGUCUAGGAGCAACAACGGCUCAGCCGCUAAGUGGUAGGCCACAUAAGCUCACAGAACGGGACCACCUGAGUGCUGAAGCGCUUGGCACGUAACAAUGGUCUGACCUCGGUUGCAACACUCACUUACCGAGUUUCAAACUGCCUCUGGUAAGCAACGUCAGCACAAGAACUGUUCGUUGGGAGCUUCAUGAAAUGGGUUUCCGUGGCCUAGCAGCCGUACACAAGCCUAAGAUCACCAUGUGCAAUGCCAAGCGUCGGCUGGAGUGGUGUAAAAAGCUAGCCGCCAUUGGACUCUGGAGCAGUGGAAACGCGUUCUCUGGAGUGAUGAACCACGCUUCACCAUCUGGCAGUCUGACGGAGGAAUCUGGGUUUGGCGGAUGCCAGGAGAACACUACCUGCCUGAAUGCAUAGUGCCAACUGUAAAGUUUGGUGGAGGAGGAAUAAUGGUCUGGGGCUGUUUUUCAUGGUUCGGGCCCCUUAGUUCCAGUGAAGGGAAAUCUUAAUGCUACUGCAUACAAUGACAUUCUAGAUGAUUCUCUGCUUCCAACUUUGAGACAACUGUUUGGGGAAGGCCCUUUCCUAUUUCAACAUGACAAUGCCCCUGUUCACAAAGCGAGGUCCAUACGGAAAUGGUUUGUCGAGAUCAGUGUAGAAGAACUUGACUGACCUCAACCCCAUCGAAAAGCUUUGGGAUGAAUUGGAACGCUGACUGCGAGCCAGGAGGCCUAAUCGCCCAACAUCAAUGCGUGACUUCACUAAUGCUCUUGUGGCUGAAUGGAAGAAAGUCCCCGCAGCAAUGUUCCAACAUCUAGUGGAAAGCCUUCCCAGAAGAGUGGAGGCUGUUAUAGCAGCAAUGUUCCAACAUCUAGUGGAAAGCCUUCCCAGAAGAGUGGAGGCUGUUAUAGCAGCAAUGUUCCAACAUCUAGUGGAAAGCCUUCCCAGAAGAGUGGAGGCUGUUAUAGCAGCAAUGUUCCAACAUCUAGUGGAAAGCCUUCCCAGAAGAGUGGAGGCUGUUAUAGCAGCAAUGUUCCAACAUCUAGUGGAAAGCCUUCCCAGAAGAGUGGAGGCUGUUAUAGCAGCAAUGUACCAACAUCUAGUGGAAAGCCUUCCCAGAAGAGAGGAGGCUGUUAUAGCAGCAAUGUUCCAACAUCUAGUGGAAAGUCUUCCCAGAAGAGUGGAGGCUGUUAUAGCAGCAAUGUACCAACAUCUAGUGGAAAGCCUUCCCAGAAGAGAGGAGGCUGUUAUAGCAGCAAUGUUCCAACAUCUAGUGGAAAGCCUUCCCAGAAGAGUGGAGGCUGUUAUAGCAGCAAUGUUCCAACAUCUAGUGGAAAGCCUUCCCAGAAGAGUGGAGGCUGUUAUAGCAGCAAUGUUCCAACAUCUAGUGGAAAGCCUUCCCAGAAGAGAGGAGGCUGUUAUAGCAGCAAAGGGGAGGACCAACGUCCAAAGAUGUUGGACGUGCAGGUGUCCACAUACUUUUGGUAAUGUAGUGUACAAACUACAAACACACGUUAUAGAAAUUCCACUCACUAACACACUAACACGUUUCCAAACCUGAUACUUUUUUUAAAAAUACAUUUUUAUUAUUGUAGCCUCUCUUUAGUGUGGUAUCAAGUUGUUUCCCAGAGUGUUUUAUUUAAAUAAUGUUUUAUAAAAUACAUCUCUGAUAUUAAACACUGUUUUACUGGUUUGUUAGUUAUUUUAUUGCGGGUUUUGGUGGGUUGUUCUUGGAUGGACAGACAUGUCUGUGGGUUUUGGUGGGUUUUAUCUUGGAUGGACAGACAUGUCUGUGGGUUUGGGUGGGUUGUUCUUGGAUGGACAGACAUGUCUGUGGGUUGGUCUUGGAUGGACAGACAUGUCUGUGGGUUUUGGUGGGUUGUUCUUGGAUGGACAGACAUGUCUGUGGGUUUUGGUGGGUUGUUCUUGGAUGGACAGACAUGUCUGUGGGUUUUGGUGGGUUGCUCUUGGAUGGACAGACAUGUCUGUGGGUUUGGGUGGGUUGUUCUUGGAUGGUGGACAUCUGUGGGUUUGAUAACUGAUCUACAAGUUGAUGACGAGUGUUUGACUUUUAGGGGGAAAUGUAUUUAUAAAAUGUAUCCUGGAGCAGAAAACACAAUGCAGGACAGUUGGGGAAACAAACAGACGUAUUUAUUUAAAUUGAAAGUUUCUUAUUACGAUUUGAAAAUGGAUAUCGAGAUAUACUGAAUAACUAAUUUUGAAAGAAAAAAAAACAAGUUGUAUUGAUUUGUUGCCUAUAUAAAGUAUUAAUGAAUUAUAAAUUAUAUUGAUUUUUCAACGUUUCACAUUUUGUAAUUGAUCUUUAGCCAAACCUAGUGUGAUUUGUAUAGGAAGUCAUUGAUCUUUAGCCAAACCUAGUGUGAUUUGUAUAGGAAGUCAUUGAUCUUUAGCCAAACCUAGUGUGAUUUGUAUAGGAAGUCAUUGAUCUUUAGCCAAACCUAGUGUGAUUUGUAUAGGAAGUCAUUGAUCUUUAGCCAAACCUAGUGUGAUUUGUAUAGGGAGUCAUUGAUCUUUAGCCAAACCUAGUGUGAUUUGUAUAGGAAGUCAUUGAUCUUUAGCCAAACCUAGUGUGAUUUGUAUAGGGAGUCAUUGAUCUUUAGCCAAACCUAGUGUGAUUUGUAUAGGAAGUCAUUGAUGUUUAGCCAAACCUAGUGUGAUUUGUAUAGGGAGUCAUUGAUCUUUAGCCAAACCUAGUGUGAUUUGUAUAGGAAGUCAUUGAUCUUUAGCCAAACCUAGUGUGAUUUGUAUAGGAAGUCAUUGAUCUUUAGCCAAACCUAGUGUGAUUCGUAUAGGGAGUCAUUGAUCUUUAGCCAAACCUAGUGUGAUUUGUAUAGGAAGUCAUUGAUCUUUAGCCAAACCUAGUGUGAUUUGUAUAGGAAGUCAUUGAUCUUUAGCCAAACCUAGUGUGAUUCGUAUAGGGAGUCAUUGAUCUUUAGCCAAACCUAGUGUGAUUUGUAUAGGAAGUCAUUGAUCUUUAGCCAAACCUAGUGUGAUUUGUAUAGGGAGUCAUUGUAAAGUGACUAUUGAAACAACCGCUGAAGAAACGUAUUGCAUUGAAACGUGUCUUGCAGACGUCAAGCUGUGAGUGCCGUACACGGAGCUGGUGAACUUGUGGGACAUCAGUCAUGUACAUUGAUUUGUCCUUGAUGUAACAGUUUCAGCUGUGCAUGAAAUGAAAUGAGUAAAACAUGAAAUUACAUUUGAAUUUGGAUUUUCUUGGCAUUUUACUUUUUAAAAAUAUAUAUACAAUUUUUAAAAAAGGCAAAUGUUGUUCGGAAGCCAUUACAUUUUUAUUAUAAAGCAACUAAUCCUUGAAAUACUAUUUGCACUUUCAUAGUCUAUACCUUAUACAUUCCCUCUUGAAAUGAAAAAAGAAAUACUGUUUUGAUGUGUGGCCAAUAAACAUUGAAUUUUA